rnacentral:rRNA from 1 species
AGAGUUUGAUCCUGGCUCAGGACGAACGCUGGCGGCGUGCCUAACACAUGCAAGUCGAACGGAGAAUUUUAUUUCGGUAGAAUUCUUAGUGGCGAACGGGUGAGUAACGCGUAGGCAACCUGCCCUUUAGACGGGGACAACAUUCCGAAAGGAGUGCUAAUACCGGAUGUGAUCAUCGUGCCGCAUGGCAGGAUGAAGAAAGAUGGCCUCUACAAGUAAGCUAUCGCUAAAGGAUGGGCCUGCGUCUGAUUAGCUAGUUGGUAGUGUAACGGACUACCAAGGCGAUGAUCAGUAGCCGGUCUGAGAGGAUGAACGGCCACAUUGGGACUGAGACACGGCCCAAACUCCUACGGGAGGCAGCAGUGGGGAAUCUUCCGCAAUGGACGAAAGUCUGACGGAGCAACGCCGCGUGAGUGAUGAAGGAUUUCGGUCUGUAAAGCUCUGUUGUUUAUGACGAACGUGCAGUGUGUGAACAAUGCAUUGCAAUGACGGUAGUAAACGAGGAAGCCACGGCUAACUACGUGCCAGCAGCCGCGGUAAUACGUAGGUGGCGAGCGUUGUCCGGAAUUAUUGGGCGUAAAGAGCAUGUAGGCGGCUUAAUAAGUCGAGCGUGAAAAUGCGGGGCUCAACCCCGUAUGGCGCUGGAAACUGUUAGGCUUGAGUGCAGGAGAGGAAAGGGGAAUUCCCAGUGUAGCGGUGAAAUGCGUAGAUAUUGGGAGGAACACCAGUGGCGAAGGCGCCUUUCUGGACUGUGUCUGACGCUGAGAUGCGAAAGCCAGGGUAGCGAACGGGAUUAGAUACCCCGGUAGUCCUGGCCGUAAAC